GGUUUCCACAGUACUACCCUGAUCAUACCUCAUCUCUUCUGAUUUCAGAAGCUAAGUAGGGCCAGGCUUGGUCAGUAUUUAGAUGGGAGACCCCAGGGAUCUCCAGAUAGGGCUAGGGAAAAUC
rnacentral:rRNA from 1 species